AUAUUAUAAAUUAAGUACUGUAAAGAAAAAUAAAUUAAAUAUUUAUUUAUACCUUUUGCAUAAUGGUUUAAUAAUAGUAUUAAAGAAUUUUUUUUUCCCGAAAUUAGAAGAUUUAACUUUGUUAAAAUUUUAGAUAUUAUAUAAUAUAAUGUUUCAAAAUUAUAAAUAUAAACAAAGUUAGGGGUGAAAGGCUUAUCAAUUCUAUAGAUAUCUGGAAUAGUUUUAAAUGUAUUUAGUACAAAAUAAUGGUUUGAUUAAAAAAAUCUUAAGAUUUUUUUAAUUUUAGAAUAAUACUUAAUAUAAUUUUGUGAAUUAACCUUCUUGUAAUUAAAUUUAUUAAUAAUUUUAAAGUAAAAAUAAUCUAAAUUAUAAAAUUAUUAAAAUAUAAAUUUUUCAAUAUAUAAAUUAUGUUAAAAUUAGUAUAAUAUUAUUUGUUUUUUAAAGGAACUCGGCAAAUUUAUUAUUCAUCUGUUUAUCAAAAACAUAGCUUUGUGUAAAAUAUACAAAGUAAAACCUGCCCAGUGAUAACGAUUAAACGGCCGCAGUACCUUGACUGUGCUAAGGUAGCAUAAUAAAUUGACUUUUAAUUGAAGCCUUGAAUGAAAGGGUAAAUGGAUAAUUUCUGUCUUUAAUAAAUUACUUAUAAUUUACUUAAAAGGUGAAAAUUCCUUUAAUUAAAUAUAAUAGACGAGAAGACCCUAGGAGUUUUAAGUUUUGUUGGGGCGACAGUAUAGCAUUAUUAACCUAUAUAACAAUGAUAAAAAUUAAACGAGUAAUUUUAAUAGUAAAUAAACUACCCUAGGGAUAACAGCAUAAUUUUUAAAAUAAGUUUGUGACCUCGAUGUUGGACUAGGAACUUUUAAGGCUAACAGCGUUAAUGGUAGUUCUGUUCGA
rnacentral:rRNA from 1 species